rnacentral:rRNA from 1 species
UACGUAGGAGGCAAGCGUUGUCCGGAGUUACUGGGCGUAAAGCGCGUGUAGGCGGCUAAGUAAGUCGGGCGUGAAAUCCCACGGCUCAACCGUGGAAGUGCACUCGAAACUGCAUAGCUAGAGUCCUGGAGAGGAAGGUGGAAUGCUUGGUGUAGAGGUGAAAUUCGUAGAUAUCAAGCGGAACACCGGUGGCGAAGGCGGCCUUCUGGACAGUGACUGACGCUGAGACGCGAAAGCGUGGGGAGCAAACAGG